UUGAACGCUGGCGGAAUGCUUUACACAUGCAAGUCGAGCGGCAGCGCGGGGGCAACCUUGGCGGCGAGCGGCGAACGGGUGAGUAACAUAUCGGAACGUACCCAGACGUGGGGGACAACUAGUCGAAAGACUAGCUAAUACCGCAUACGUCCUGAGGGAGAAAGCGGGGGAUCGCAAGACCUCGCGCGUUUGGAGCGGCCGAUAUCUGAUUAGCUAGAUGGUGGGGUAAAGGCUCACCAUGGCGACGAUCAGUAGCUGGUCUGAGAGGAUGAUCAGCCACACUGGAACUGAGACACGGUCCAGACUCCUACGGGAGGCAGCAGUGGGGAAUUUUGGACAAUGGGGGAAACCCUGAUCCAGCCAUUCCGCGUGAGUGAAGAAGGCCUUCGGGUUGUAAAGCUCUUUCGGCAGGAACGAAACGGCGGAAUCUAAUACCAUAGAACGAUGACGGUACCUGAAGAAUAAGCACCGGCUAACUACGU
rnacentral:rRNA from 1 species